rnacentral:rRNA from 2 species
CAAAGAACGCGCCUGCUACCGACAUGUCAAGCGGAAUAAGGGAGCUUUCUCCCCGAGGUUAGCGAAUGACCGGCGAAUAACAUGUGAGUAACCUGCCCUUAAGACUGGGAUAACUCCCGGCAACCGGAUCUAAUGCCGGAUUACUCCUUGAACCGCACGGUUCAAGGAUGAAGGACGGUUUCGGCCGUCACUUAAAGAUGGACCCGCGGCGCAUUAGCUAGUUGGUGAGGUAACGGCUCACCAAGGCGACGAUGCGUAGCCGACCUGAGAGGGUGAUCGGCCACACUGGGACUGAGACACGGCCCAGACUCCUACGGGAGGCAGCAGUAGGGAAUCUUCCGCAAUGGACGAAAGUCUGACGGAGCAACGCCGCGUGAGUGAUGAAGGUUUUCGGAUCGUAAAGCUCUGUUGUUAGGGAAGAACAAGUGCAAGAGUAACUGCUUGCACCUUGACGGUACCUAACCAGAAAGCCACGGCUAACUACGUGCCAGCAACCGCGGUAAUACGUAGGUGGCAAGCGUUGUCCGGAAUUAUUGGGCGUAAAGGGCUCGCAGGCAGUUUCUUAAGUCCGAUGUGAAAGCCCCCGGCCCACCCGGGGAGGGUCAUUGGAAACUGGGAAACCUUGAGUGCCGAAGAGGAGAGGGGGAAUUUCCCCGUGCAGCGGCUAAAAUGGGGGCAGAAUCCCCCAAGAAAACUAGUGUUCUCAAGGGUAACCGCU